UGGCGAGGAGCCGCGGACGGAUCACCUGCUCCUUGGUUUCCUGAACAGACAGGGAGAUGAAACGCAAGCAUGCAAACUUCAAGCUCUGAUCCCAAGGCCUCAACUAACAGCUGUGGCACCAUACCAUAACUUUGAUGUGACUCCUGUGGAAACAGUUUCAACAAACAGAGUGUGCCAGUGAAGGGAGUAAAUCAGCAGCCAGAGCAAGUUGGGGGCCAUACGUCAGAGCCGCAAAUUUCCAGUUUACAGUUUACAGCCGCAAGGAUAAGUCUGUGGAGGCAUGGCAACAGAAGCACACUCGCUAUGCUAAAACAGGAGAGAGAAUGCUGCCAGCAAUCUCAAAAUACCUUAAAAGAAAAAGUCACACGAGUUUGGAAUGACAUGAGAUAGUGGUGCGGAUGCUGGCUGAACUUUACCACUGCCUUGACGGAAGGUGAUUCUCUUCCGCCUCCUUCU